UCUUUCGUUUUUUUAUCAAAAUUGUAGAAAAACAUAUUGGGAACCAGGAUGAAGAAGAUAAGUGAGGGUUCUUCAACCGCUCGGAGAACACUACACACUGGGCCAGAAAAAAAACGCCGGCGAAGAAGAAAUCAAAAACCCUAGUUAAAAAACACAAAGGUGAAGAUAUGAUUUAUGUUUGCAUGUAUGGUGUUAAAGUUGUUUGAACGGGGCCAAGCAGAACGAGAAGUACAAGAAUACGCACUUUUGGACGAGGAUGAAAGGGUGAGUAUGGAAGACAAUGCAAAUCGAUCAGAUUGCUGAAAGGUUGGGGGCUACCGUGUAGGUGGACAGCAAAAAAAGUUAAACUUUUUGUUAGAAGACAAACUUUUUGGGAAAUUUAGAUUAUAUGAUGUGUUAGCGUUUUGGCAAAGUUGUGAUUAUGGUAUAAUUUGACUAUGUAAAGACUGAUUACAAUCGUAAGCUGUUUCUGUUUUACACCUUUU